GAGUAGUAAGAGUUAUGAUCUUGAAACUCAAAAAAUUUGGCGGUAUUUUAUCUUACUAGAGGAACCUGUUUAUUAAUUGAUACUCCACAACUUAAAUAUAUUUUCAUUAGAUUAUUUGUAUACCGUUGUCAUGAAUGUACUAAAAAGUGUAUUUUCAAGAUUUUUUAUAUAAUUUAUGUUAGAUCAAGGUGCAGUCUGUGAGAAAGUAAAAUGGGUUACAAUAUUUAAUAUGAAUGGAAAUUAUUCUUAGAAGAAUUUUAGAAAAAGGAUUUAGCAGUAAGUGAGAAUUAAUAAAGACUUUCUGUGAAUUUAGAUUCUAAAAUAUG
rnacentral:rRNA from 1 species